UUCGUUAUGAUGAUAACUUAACUCAGCUCACUCAGAGUCUCUGACGAUGCUGAUAACACCCUUUUUCCAACAUUCAUCAAACUAUCUGAUACUGAA
rnacentral:snoRNA from 1 species